UGAGGAAUAUUGGGCAAUGCCCGCAAGGGUGACCCAGCAACGCCGCGUGGAGGAUGAAUGUCGUAAGAUUGUAAACUCCUGUUAGAGGGGAAGAAUAGUACCGGUUGGACCGGUAUAUGACUGUACCCUCAGAGAAAGCCCCGGCUAACUACGUGCCAGCAGCCGCGGUAAUACGUAGGGGGCAAGCGUUGACCGGAUUUACUGGGUGUAAAGGGCGCGCAGGCGGGAUAAAAAGUCAGUGGUGAAAUCCUACAGCUUAACUGUAGAACUUCCUUUGAUACUUUUAUUCUUGAGUUCGGGAGAGAGAGACGGAAUUCCAGGUGUAGUGGUGAAAUACGUAGAUAUCUGGAAGAACACCAGUUGCGAAGGCGGUCUCUUGGUCCGACACUGACGCUGAGGCGCGAAAGCGUGGGGAGCAAACA
rnacentral:rRNA from 1 species